UACGAAGGGGGCUAGCGUUGUUCGGAAUUACUGGGCGUAAAGCGCACGUAGGCGGAUUGUUAAGUUAGGGGUGAAAUCCCAGGGCUCAACCCUGGAACUGCCUUUAAUACUGGCAAUCUCGAGUCCGAGAGAGGUGAGUGGAAUUCCGAGUGUAGAGGUGAAACUCGUAGAUAUUCGGAGGAACACCAGUGGCGAAGGCGGCUCACUGGCUCGGUACUGACGCUGAGGCGCGACAGCGUGGGGAGCAAACAGG
rnacentral:rRNA from 1 species